rnacentral:rRNA from 1 species
GUGGCAGCAGCCGCGGUAAUACGGAGGGUGCAAGCGUUAAUCGCAAUUACUGGGCGUAAAGCGCGCGUAGGCGGUUUGCUAAGCCAGAUGUGAAAGCCCCGGGCUCAACCUGGGAACUGCAUUUGGAACUGGCAGGCUAGAGUACGGUAGAGGGUGGUAGAAUUUCCUGUGUAGCGGUGAAAUGCGUAGAUAUAGGAAGGAAUACCAGUGGCGAAGGCGGCCACCUGGACUGAUACUGACGCUGAGGUGCGAAAGCGUGGGGAGCGAACAGGAUUAGAAACCCCGGUAGUCC